rnacentral:rRNA from 1 species
AUUGAACGCUGGCGGCAGGCCUAACACAUGCAAGUCGAGCGGAUGAAGGGAGCUUGCUCCUGGAUUCAGCGGCGGACGGGUGAGUAAUGCCUAGGAAUCUGCCUGGUAGUGGGGGAUAACGUCCGGAAACGGGCGCUAAUACCGCAUACGUCCUGAGGGAGAAAGUGGGGGAUCUUCGGACCUCACGCUAUCAGAUGAGCCUAGGUCGGAUUAGCUAGUUGGUGGGGUAAAGGCCUACCAAGGCGACGAUCCGUAACUGGUCUGAGAGGAUGAUCAGUCACACUGGAACUGAGACACGGUCCAGACUCCUACGGGAGGCAGCGGUGGGGAAUAUUGGACAGUGGGCGAAAGCCUGAUCCAGCCAGGCCGCGUGUGUGAAGAAGGUCUUCGGAUUGUAAAGCACUUUAAGUUGGGAGGAAGGGCAGUAAGUUAAUACCUUGCUGUUUUGACGUUACCAACAAAAUAAGCACCGGCCAACUUCGU